rnacentral:rRNA from 1 species
UACGUAGGGGCCUAGCGUUGUCCGGAAUUAUUGGGCGUAAAGAGCUUGUAGGCGGUUUGUCGCGUCUGCUGUGAAAAUCCGGGGCUCAACCCCGGGCUUGCAGUGGGUACGGGCAGACUAGAGUGUGGUAGGGGAGACUGGAAUUCCUGGUGUAGCGGCGAAAUGCGCAGAUAUCAGGAGGAACACCGAUGGCGAAGGCAGGUCUCUGGGCCACUACUGACGCUGAGAAGCGAAAGCAUGGGGAGCGAACAGG